rnacentral:rRNA from 1 species
UACGUAGGGGGCAAGCGUUGUCCGGAUUUAUUGGGCGUGAAGAGCGUGUAGGCGGCCACACAGGUCAGCUGUGAAAACUCGAGGCUCAACCUCGAGACGUCGGUUGAAACCGUAUGGCUAGAGUCCGGAAGAGGAGAGUGGAAUUCCCGGUGUAGCGGUGAAAUGCGCAGAUAUCGGGAAGAACACCCGUGGCGAAGGCGGCUCUCUGGGACGGUACUGACGCUGAGACGCGAAAGCGGUGGGGAGCGAACGAGGA